rnacentral:rRNA from 1 species
GACGAACGCUGGCGGCGUGCCUAAUACAUGCAAGUAGAACGCUGAAGAGAGGAGCUUGCUCUUCUUGGAUGAGUUGCGAACGGGUGAGUAACGCGUAGGUAACCUGCCUGGUAGCGGGGGAUAACUAUUGGAAACGAUAGCUAAUACCGCAUAAAAUGGAUUAUCGCAUGAUAAUCCAUUGAAAGGUGCAAAUGCAUCACUACCAGAUGGACCUGCGUUGUAUUAGCUAGUUGGUGGGGUAACGGCUCACCAAGGCGACGAUACAUAGCCGACCUGAGAGGGUGAUCGGCCACACUGGGACUGAGACACGGCCCAGACUCCUACGGGAGGCAGCAGUAGGGAAUCUUCGGCAAUGGACGUAAGUCUGACCGAGCAACGCCGCGUGAGUGAAGAAGGUUUUCGGAUCGUAAAGCUCUGUUGUAAGAGAAGAACGAGUGUGAGAGUGGAAAGUUCACACUGUGACGGUAUCUUACCAGAAAGGGACGGCUAACUACGUG